rnacentral:rRNA from 1 species
AUUGAACGCUGGCGGCAUGCUUUACACAUGCAAGUCGAACGGUAACAGGCCGCAAGGUGCUGACGAGUGGCGAACGGGUGAGUAAUGCAUCGGAACGUGCCCAGUCGUGGGGGAUAACGCAGCGAAAGCUGCGCUAAUACCGCAUACGAUCUAUGGAUGAAAGCGGGGGACCGUAAGGCCUCGCGCGAUUGGAGCGGCCGAUGUCAGAUUAGGUAGUUGGUGGGUAAAGGCUCACCAAGCCAACGAUCUGUAGCUGGUCUGAGAGGACGACCAGCCACACUGGGACUGAGACACGGCCCAGACUCCUACGGGAGGCAGCAGUGGGGAAUUUUGGACAAUGGGCGCAAGCCUGAUCCAGCAAUGCCGCGUGCAGGAAGAAGGCCUUCGGGUUGUAAACUGCUUUUGUACGGAACGAAACGGCUCUGGCUAAUACCUGGGGCUAAUGACGGUACCGUAAGAAUAAGCACCGGCUAACUACGUGCCAGCCGCCGCGGUAAAAC